GCCAGGCCGGAGGCAGCUCCAGGACGGGGCAAGGGUGGCUGGUGGUGGCCUCGGCAGCAUCGUCCCUCGCCUGGGCAGGGGUCCCCGAGCCAGUGUGCUCCAGGAUCCUCCGAUGCCACCUCCUGCCUGAUGCCACCUCCUGCCUGCGUUGGUGCAGCGCUCAGCAUAUGGAUCUUGGACAGUGCGCCCUGGCCACCUGAACCUGCCCUGCAUACCUCCACAGAGCCUGCGACAGGACACAGGUUCAAUCCCUGCCUUCCCUGGUACAUCGGGCUAAAGAAUCUGGUGUUGCUUCAGCUACUGCGUAGUUCACAACGGCAGCCUGAAUCUGAUCCCUGGCCCAGGAACUCCAUACGCUGCGGGGCAGCCAAGAAAAAAGAAAGGAACUAAAAAGAACAUUGCAGACGGAGGAUCACCGCCUUCCAAGACGGCAACUGGCAAUGGGAAGGUCCCCUUGGGCCUUUCAUGCCCUAGUUCUGUGUCUAUCCGUGGGGACUCAUAGAAAGGAAAUAGAGUCCUUCCCCUGCUUAUAGCAGCUCUUCCAUUGUUGGAGACCAUGGAACAGCCGAAUUCUGCAGAAGGCAAAUACCUAUGGACUCAGAGUUCUAACCACAGAGUCUCCUUCAAAGACAAGAUGAAGGACUUAUGCAUUAACCACCCCUUAUUCUGUAAACAGCUGCCCUAUGUCCUAAGGAUACCCCCUCUGAUAUGCUCUUGAGAAGAUAAUCUCGUUAUUGCCUAUGCCUGUCCCUGCCCACUAAUCUCGACACCUUCUUUAAUCCCAUCCAUUAACAAUAAUCUCAUCACCUUCCUUAAUAAAAAUCGUGUGGGCUAAAGCCUAGGCGCCUUUGUUCUGUGGAACAGAGUGCC